ensembl:lncRNA
AGCAUUGUGACGUCUUUUUAGGCAUUUCCAUUGGAGAAUGGCUGUAAGGGGCGGUGGUCACAUGGUGUCUCCCGGAGAAAAUCUUGCGUAAAAUACUGAGGUAGCCAUUUUUCCAAUCGUUUCUUAUGAGAAACCAAUUGCCUCGACGGAUAUAUUAUCGAAUAAAUAUGUUAAAAGCACCUUGAGGAUGGAUCCUAAACAACGUUUGCCGUGUUUCUGUCGAUAUAAUGGAGCAAAUUUUGAAAAAAGUUUGGCAUUAUAGUUGAAGUAUUUUUCGGUCGAUUUCUCAGCCAAGCAUGAUGAACAAAGGGGAGCUUUUUCGCCUACAAAAAUAUUCUUUAUGGAAAAAAGGAACAUUUGCUAUCUAACUGGGAGUCUCCUGAGUGAAAGCAUCUGAAGUUCUUCAAAGGCCCUGGCAUGGAUCAAAGCUGGCGAGACAUUCAAUAAUGUCAUCUUCACAGACAAAUCAACCGUGGCCCUUGAGCAAUUUGAUAAAAAUUGCUACCGAAAAAAAGGAAGAAGGUCAAGCAAGCCAAGUCCCACUCAAACUACAUGUGUGGGGGGCAAUUUCUCGCCAGGGACCAGGCCCAUAUUGGAUUUUUGAUGGUAUCAUGGCUCAAUAUUUAUUUGAGGAAGAAAACAUCAAUUAAGCCCUCUUGUUGUUUGUAAAGUCAAAUUAAAAUGAU